rnacentral:rRNA from 1 species
UACAGAGGUCUCAAGCGUUGUUCGGAUUCAUUGGGCGUAAAGGGUGCGUAGGUGGCGCGCUAAGUCAGGUGUGAAAUCUCGGAGCUUAACUCCGAAACUGCAUUCGAUACUGCCGUGCUUGAGGACUGGAGAGGAGACUGGAAUUUACGGUGUAGCGGUGAAAUGCGUAGAUAUCGUAAGGAAGACCAGUGGCGAAGGCGGGUCUCUGGACAGUUCCUGACGCUGAGGCACGAAGGCUAGGGGAGCAAACGGG